rnacentral:lncRNA from 1 species
AUUGUUCUAUAGAACUCCUAAAUGACAUUAUUUUAAGUUUCAAUCUUGUCUUAAAAUAGUUCCAUGAGUAUGUUUUUAAUUAUGAGACUUCUCUUCUAUUUUCUUUAUUAUAAUUUAAUUACUCCUAAAAAUCCAUGUCAUAAUUUUUGAUUGUUUAUUAUUUAGUUUAUUCCAAAUUUUAUUUCUUUCUUUGUGCUUAUUUUA